UGUAUCUGAAAUCAAGCAGGAUCACCCGCUGAACUUAAGCAUAUCACUAAGCGGAGGAGAAGAAAUUAACUAAGAUUGCCUCAGUAACGGCGAGUGAAGCGGCAAAAGCCCAAAAUGUAAAUCUUGUGCACUACGUGUACACGAAUUGUAAUCUAUAGAGUGUAUUCUCAACGGGCGGGGACGCAGAAGUGACCUCGAACGGUCCGCCAGAGAGGGUGACAGCCCCGUAUGUGGUGUCUCUGCUUAACGAGAGUAUAUUCGAAGAGUCGGGUUGUUUUGUAUUGCAGCCCUAAGUGGGAGAUAAACUUCUUCUAAGGCUAAAUAUUAAUGGGAAACCGAUAGCGAACAAGUACUGUGAAGGAAAGAUGAAAAGAACUUUGAAAAGAGAGUCAAAAGACUUGAAAUCGUUGAGAAGGAAGGGGUAGAAAUUUAUUCUUCGGUGUAUGCAGAGUGUAAUCGCCUAAGCAUUGCAGGUGUAGAAUACGUAAAAGGUUCUUGCUUGUACCUGUGGAAGUGAUUGCAUGAGUGUGCAUCGUGAGGCAAGAUGGGGUCGAACGGCUACAAAGGCUUUGUACAACCGGUUACUUUCGGGUGGCAGUGUACGAAUGUCGGUAGAAGUUCGGCCUGAGGAAGCUUCGGCGAUCUUGCCAAAAUGGUUUUUACCCACCCGUCUUGAAACACGGACCAAGGAGUCUAUCUUGUAUGCGAGUGUGCUAGUGGAAAAACUAACACGCGUAAUGAAGGUGAUUGAUGCCAAGCGCAAGCAGCAGCAUCGACCGACCAUGAUCCUCUGGUGAAAGGUUUGAGUACGAGCAUAUAAGCUAGGACCCGAAAGAUGGUGAACUAUGCCUGAGUAGGGUGAAGCCAGGGGAAACUCUGGUGGAGGCUCGUAGCGGUUCUGACGUGCAAAUCGAUCGUCAAACUUGGGUAUAGGGGCGAAAGACUAAUCGAACCAUCUAGUAGCUGGUUCCCUCCGAAGUUUCCCUCAGGAUAGCUGGGACAAAUACGCAGUUUUAUUAGGUAAAGCGAAUGAUUAGAGGCAUCGGGGGUGCAAUGCCCUCGACCUAUUCUCAAACUUUAAAUUGGUAAGAACCCUGGCCUUUCUUAAUUGAGGCACAGGGGCUCAAUGCGUGUCCCAAGUGGGCCAUUUUUGGUAAGCAGAACUGGCGAUGAGGGAUGCUCCUAACGUCGAGUUAAGGUGCCCAACCGCACGCUCAUCAGAAACUACAAAGGGUGUUGGUUCAUCCAGACAGCAGGACGGUGGCCAUGGAAGUCGGAACCCGCUAAGGAGUGUGUAACAACUCACCUGCCGAAUGGACUAGCCCCGAAAAUGGAUGGCGCUCAAGCGUGCGACCGAUCUCGACCAUU
rnacentral:rRNA from 1 species